GACGAACGCUGGCGGCGUGCUUAACACAUGCAAGUCGAACGGAAAGGCCCUGCUUUUGUGGGGUUCUCGAUUGGCGAACGGGUGAGUAACACGUGAGUAACCUGCCCUUGACUUUGGGAUAACUUCAGGAAACUGGAGCUAAUACCGUAUAGGAGCUCCUGCUGCAUUGUAGGCGUUGGAAAGUUUCGGCUGUUGGGGAUGGACUCGCGGCUUAUCAGCUUGUUGGUGGGGUAGUGGCUUACCAAGGCUUUGACGGGUAGCCGGCCUGAGAGGGUGACCGGGCACAUUGGGACUGAGAUACGGCCCAGACUCCUACGGGAGGCAGCAGUGGGGAAUAUUGCACAAUGGGCGGAAGCCUGAUGCAGCAACGCCGCGUGCGGGAUGACGGCCUUCGGGUUGUAAACCGCUUUCGCCUGUGACGAAGCGUGAGUGACGGUAAUGGGUAAAGAAGCACCGGCUAACUACGUG
rnacentral:rRNA from 1 species